CCCCGAUGGCUGUGUUUUGCUAGGUCCAUAGAGCUAGGCUCCCCCGGUCGGUGCCAUCGUUCUCCUCCAGUUCUGAAGCUCUCCUGUGUAACCGACCUUUGGCGGUGCUGAUGCCGCCCAUUGUGGCCCUGUGGCUUUUUCAUGCGGGCUCAUUCGCGGCCAAUCCUGAACAUCGCUGCACUCCCGGUCCUUGCACCCAGCUUUGGAUGGCACCAAAGCCACCCGGGCAGCCAUGUCUUUCAUCAACACCAGGUUCACUGAACCCGAGCCGUUUCUGCUCGAAUCUCCACCCAGUCUGCGAUAAGUUCACCAGAUCUAAGGCCCCCCUCAUGGUGCCGGUCUCUUCCCACUCCGGCCAUUUGGGGCUCCUCGCAUUUGUAGCAUCGAUGGGUCUAAGUGCACACGGGGCGUAUGGGCGAUUUGUCCGUUCCAAGUUAGUAGUUUGACGCGUAGCUUCGGCAAAGGCCUGGGUCGCCUUUCUUCAAAGGCGGAAAGGACCACGCGUGUCUAGCUCUACAGAGCAGCAUAGCCUCUUCGAAGCAGAUCAUCACUAGGAAACUCAAGGCUGAACUCUAGUUCAAAGACACCGAGGUCCCCAUGCGCUUGCCACGGCUGAUCUUCACUCUGCGACCCAUCACGACCGACAUUAGUCCCGUGAUCCCAUCACCGUCGAUCCUGUUCUCAAUAGAUAACAUUCUCUCAUUCUUGGGCAUAUUAUCCCUGACCGGUGACGACGUCAUCUGGUGAUCCUCCCCCGGCAAGCAUAUAAACAACAUGACCCACAC
rnacentral:lncRNA from 1 species